rnacentral:tRNA from 1 species
GGGGUUGUGGCUUAGUGGUAAAGUACUUGCCUUGCAUGCAUGAGACACUGGGUUUGAUCCUCAGCACCA